CUAAUCUCUGGACUGUAUUCAGUAUUUGUUAUGAUGUUUAUAAUUUAUAAUUUGUUUUUUAUUAAAGAGCAUGCAUAUACCAUAUCAUUACUGUAAUUAAAAUACUAGUUCAUUCUGUAGCAGUUGUACUUAUACCUAUUAUAUGAAGUAGUUAAUCUUUUAUGGAAAGAAAAACGAAAUGUGUUUAUAAAUUAGCUAGCAUUUUACCAUGAUCCACAGACUACCAACAGUCCUGAAGAGUGUAGUCUAUCAGGAGAGUUACAACCAGGAACACUGAUGACCACAAUGCCUGCCAUGUAGCCAUCUGCUCUGCUCAGUCUGCAUUACCAACAUGAUGAAGAUGAGUAAGCUGACCUACCCCACCUGCUGAACCCAGCACAUUGCUACUGCCAUUUCAGAUUUCCCAGUGAGCUAUGGUAUGGAGGAACUAAUAGUAUCACUGAAGACUAAAUCAUCAUCAAGACCUAGCCAAAGUUUCCUUCAGGGAAUGGGAAAGAAGCAGAAGAGCUGCUUGUGUGAUCUUGAUACUAGCUGUCAGAAAGCCAUCCACCAGCUGAGUAUGUAUGAAGACCUGGUGGCAGACUGGCAGAAACAGCGCCAACAAUUCAUCACCAGACUUGAGGUUCUGGUGAUGCAACAUAAGGAAGCAAAAGAACUCUGAAAAAAUAUUUUGAAGAGCAUAGUAAGAAGCUAGUAAGUGUAAUAGUGUCUGGCCUCAGUCAGCACUGAAGGUAAAGUUCAUGCUAUAAUUGAGGAAGCUGACAACUGCACCAUCAUGGCUGAAACUUGCAUCCAGAAGUGCCUUAUCUUUCCAGACAUUCACGAUUUUUGCACCUCACUGAAGAAUCUGAAGACUCGUCACCAGAGAUGCGACCACCUGCAAGGCGAGUUACUCGACCCACUGUUACUGGUACUGUACACAUUAUCAGCUUCUAUGGCUAAUAUAUCAGUGAAUGACUAAGAGAUUGGAAUUCUAGCAAGAGUAGCUUAGCUCAGUCAAAGAUAGGAGCAUCAACAUUCAAUUUUUCUGGCAGCCCUUCAAGCAGCUUCUGCUCUGUCAUCUGGUAAGUAUUACAGCAGUGGUGUGUGGGUAACCUCAUCUCAUUACACCUUUAACUCUUACCUUGUAAAUUAUUUUAUGUAUGUUUCCAACAUUUUUUUUUUUAUUUAGCUACAUGACAAAACCCCUAGUGAACUGUACUAAUGGAGCAAAUAAUGGGGGCCGACUCCACCAGUUCAAGUUAUUCAAACUUCUGGAGAGAGAGAGAGAGAGACUUAAAUGGCCACUUUUGACAGCUCUAAAAUGCAACUCGCAAAAUCCAGUUAGCUCCUUAUGUUAGGUGAAUAGGUGUAUAUAAUGCUUCUUGCUUCAGGAUCUUAAUAGUGCAGUCUAUAAACUGCUUAAUUGGUGCUGUUUCAUUGAUGUACCUCAACUCGUGCCUAUGUAGAUGACUGCACUCAUUUACUUAAGCAAGAGAGGAAAUGAUAGCUGCUCAUAGGAAUAUUUUUCUUAAAUAGAGGUAGAUCAAUGGAGUGAAUUACAAGAGGAUGUAGUAAGUCCCUCAACCAUUGAAAAUUUAAGUAAAAUUACAUAAUGAACAAAUUAUUAGAUGGGACACCCUGAGCAUUGCUCUGCUCCUGUAGGUACAAAUAGGUAAUUACAUCAAUCCAUUACUGUAUAUCAACCUGAUAAAAAUGAUAACAGGUUAUAUUUGCUUCUGAGAAAACAAAAGAUGGUGAUGCCUAGACAAGUUACUAAAGCAACUGUAGUGAGAAUUAAUGGAAGUCAUAGAGCCCAGCUGUGAAGUUGAUAUUCUUGGGGUGAUGUGUGACUUGGCACCUUGGCCAGGUGUUACAUAAGCCAGACUAUGGUAGCUAUAUAGGCUAGCAAGCCAUUAGCAGCAACAGCCUGGUUGACCUGGCAGUCAACAAGGCUAGUAAAUGAUGUGGUGAUACCAACAAACUGAGUUCUAAGAACACUUGUGUACAGUUCAGAACAUUUAUUAAAGGAAGACUUUUGCCAUGAGUGGCUUCAUGUCCUGGUCACUGCUGUCUUCCCAUUGUGGAUGAGGAUAUUCUUGGCCAGGAAUUUGAUACAUGGGGUUUCUCAUCAGUUAUUGGUUUUUGUUUCUUUGGGAAAUGGUUAUCUAAUUUGUUUGGGUAAGCUAAAAUUAUGUUGCCAAAUGCUUACUUAUUUCUUGUAAGCUACUGUAGAUGUGUCAUUAAUA